rnacentral:rRNA from 1 species
UACAGAGGGUGCGAGCGUUAAUCGGAAUUACUGGGCGUAAAGCGUGCGUAGACGGUUAUUUAAGUCGGGUGUGAAAGCCCCGGGCUCAACCUGGGAAUUGCAUUCGAGACUGAAUAGCUAGGGUACGGUAGAGGGAAGCGGAAUUUCCGGUGUAGCGGUGAAAUGCGUAGAUAUCGGAAGGAACAUCAGUGGCGAAAGCGGACUUCCUGGA